rnacentral:rRNA from 1 species
ACGAACGCUGGCGGCGUGCCUAACACAUGCAAGUCGAGCGGGAAAGUUCCCUUCGGGGAGCGAGUACAGCGGCGAACGGGUGAGUAACACGUAGGUAACCUACCCUGGAGAUCGGGAUAACCUGCCGAAAGGCGGGCUAAUACCGGAUAAGACCACGAGGGCUGCGGCCCUUGAGGAAAAAGAUGGCCUCUGCUUGCAAGCUAUCACUCUGGGAUGGGCCUGCGCGCCAUUAGCUAGUUGGUGAGGUAACGGCUCACCAAGGCUGAGAUGGCUAGCUGGUCUGAGAGGAUGGCCAGCCACACUGGGACUGAGACACGGCCCAGACUCCUACGGGAGGCAGCAGUGGGGAAUAUUGCGCAAUGGGCGAAAGCCUGACGCAGCGACGCCGCGUGGGUGAUGAAGGCCUUCGGGUCGUAAAGCCC